GACGAACGCUGGCGGCGUGCUUAACACAUGCGAGUCGAACGCUGAAGCUCAGCUUUUGUUGGGUGGAUGAGUGGCGAACGGGUGAGUAACACGUGAGUAACCUGCCCCCUUCUUUGGGAUAACGCCCGGAAACGGGUGCUAAUACUGGAUAUUCACUGGUCUUCGCAUGGGGGUUGGUGGAAAGGGUUUUUCUGGUGGGGGAUGGGCUCGCGGCCUAUCAGCUUGCUGGUGGGGUGAUGGCCUACCAAGGCUUUGACGGGUAGCCGGCCUGAGAGGGUGACCGGUCACAUUGGGACUGAGAUACGGCCCAGACUCCUACGGGAGGCAGCAGUGGGGAAUAUUGCACAAUGGGCGCAAGCCUGAUGCAGCGACGCCGCGUGAGGGAUGGAGGCCUUCGGGUUGUGAACCUCUUUCGCUCAUGGUCAAGCCGCAACAAUGGUUGUGGUGAGGGUAGUGGGUAAAGAAGCGCCGGCUAACUACGUG
rnacentral:rRNA from 1 species